AUUGAACGCUGGCGGCAGGCCUAACACAUGCAAGUCGAGCGAGCGGCGGGCGGUUGAGUAAUGUCUGGGAAAAUGCCUGUUGGCUGGGGAUAACUACUGGAUACGGUAGGUAAUCACGCGUACAAUCAGAUGUCGCCAGUUGGGAAUAGCUAGUGGGGGGGGGAAUGGCUUAACGAGGCGACGAUCCCUAGCUGGUCUGAGAGGAUGACCAGCCACACUGGAACUGAGACACGGUCCAGACUCCUACGGGAGGCAGCAGUGGGGAAUAUUGCACAAUGGGCGCAAGCCUGAUGCAGCCAUGCCGCGUGUAUGAAGAAGGCCUUCGGGUUGUAAAGUACUUUCAGCGAGGAGGCGUUACUCGCAGAAGAAGCACCGGCUAACUCCGUGCCAGCAGCCGCGGUAAUUC
rnacentral:rRNA from 1 species